rnacentral:pre_miRNA from 1 species
AAAUACUCCUUGUAUGGAAGACUAGUGAUUUUGUUGUUUUGAUUUUAAAGUACUAACAAUAAAUCCCUUGUCUUCUUACAAUGUUUAUUA